UCACCUUCGGAUGCAUUGUGAUUUUUUAAGCCAGAGUUUUAGUCAGAAUGUUUUAGCAUUCAGUUUAGCCAGUGCACUAAAAAUAUUAAUCAGGUUGUGUUACAAACAGGGUUUCAGUGUCUUGGUGCAGAGAAUAUUUGGAGUGCUGUGUGUGUGGCAGUGAUCAAGGAAGGAGUAAAAGAACUAAAGUUCGCUCUCUGGAAUCCUUGUGAUACACCCACCAAGAGGGGGUAGAAGGAAAGAGAAGUGCAAUGAAGUUGUAUGAAGAUUAACACACUUUAGAACCACACAGAGUGCUGGCUGGCUUUCUUGUUUUUCCUUACAAAUAUAAUAA